rnacentral:piRNA from 1 species
UCCUACAAGGAACACUCAGAUGUGAGCCA